ACUCAAAUGAAUAGACGGGGACUUGCACAAGCAGUGGAUCAUGUGGCUCAAUUCGACGAUAAACGAAGAACCUUACCAGGGUUUGAAACCUAGCUGAAGACUAGAAGAAACUUUAGUCGCCGCAAGGCAGUUAGGCAGGUGAUGCAUGGCCGUCGUCAGUUCGUGGCUUGAGUUGUUCCCUUCAGUGGGGUAACGAACGCAACCCUCGUUGCCUGUUAUAUAUGUCAGGCGAGACUGCCCACGACAAAGCGCAUACAGUGUGGAAACACUUGUGCUCUGUGUCGUGGGAGGAAGGUGAGGAUGACGCCAGGUCAGCAUGUCCCUCUGAUACCCUGGGCUGCACACGUGAUACAAUCGCGAUGACAACAGGACGCUAAGCCGAUAAAAGGUGGAGCAAAUCCUUAUAAACGUCGCGCCAGUUUGGAUUGAGGUCUGCAACUCGACCUCAUGAAACCGGAAUUGCUAGUAAUCGCAGAUCAGCUAUGCUGCGGUGAAUACGUUCUCAAGUCUUGUACACACCGCCCGU
rnacentral:rRNA from 1 species